GACGGAGGAUGCAAGUGUUAUCCGGAAUCACUGGGCGUAAAGCGUCUGUAGGUGGUUCGAAAAGUCCACUGUUAAAAAUUGAGGCUUAACCUCAAAGAUGCCGUGGAAACUUUCAAACUAGAGUAUGGUAGGGGUAGAGGGAAUUUCCAGUGGAGCGGUGAAAUGCGUAGAUAUUGGAAAGACCACCGAUGGCGAAGGCACUCUACUGGGCCAUUACUGACACUGAGAGACGAAGCUAGGGGAGCAAAUGGG
rnacentral:rRNA from 1 species